rnacentral:misc_RNA from 1 species
UUAAGUUCAGCGGGUGGUCCUACUCGAUUUGAGGUCAAGUUGUCAGUCAUUGUCCGAAGACGGUUUGAAGCACAGAGCUCCCGAUCAGCCACCCUCUAGUGAGGUGCCGGCGAAACACUUAUCACGCCGUACUAUGUCCAACCGAGGGUUGCACUACUCCAUUUGAGGUGAGCCACAGUAAAGCAGCAACACCCAAGUCC